GGGUUCCGUCCAGCGUAUCCUUCAGAUCUUGCUGUAGGCCUCUGGUGUCUGUGCGCGCGCGGCAGGGGCGGCGGCGGCGACGGCCGGAGGUGUACGGUGUAAAUCCAAACCGCUUCCAACUCAAGGCAAGUAACAGCCCACGGUGUUCUGGCAGGAAAACAUCAGCUAAGAAAGGAAACUGGGUCCUAUGGCUUGGACUUUCCAACUCUGACAGACCGGCAGGACAGAAACAACUGAUUCAGGAGCCCUUGCCAGCCUCUAGAGAAAUCCCAGAACACUCAGCCCUGAUGACACAUUAAUACCCUGCACAUAUUGGAGACUGCUGGCCAUGCAUACUCACCAACCACCACGCCUGGCCACAAAUUUCUUUUUGAAGGCUUAUUCCGGUUUUGUGAGGCUAGCAUGAGGUGUAUGCAUUUGCCAGGGGCAAAUUUAUACUGCUGAAUUAACCCAUGCAACAAAUGCUGCACAUCUGCUCGCAGUCCAUUUAGAGGCAUUUGCGGUAGACAAUGGAGGGGCCAGACUCAUCAUACAUACCUGAUGGCUAAUCCACAUGCUUGCAGUCCAUUUAGAGGCAUUUGCAGUGGAUGAUGGAGGGGCCACAUACCUAAUUGCUAAUCCACAUCUGCUGGAAGGUGGACAGUGAGGCCUGGAUGGAACCACCAAUCCACACCGAGUACUUGUGCUCUGGGGGCAUGAUGAACUUGAUCUUCAUGGUGCUGGAUGCCAGGGCACAUGGUGGUGCUGCUGGACAGCACUGUGUUGGCGUACAGGUCUUUGCGGAUGUCCACGUCACACUUCAUGAUGGAGUUGAAGGUGGUCUUGUGGAUGCCGCAGGAUUCCAUGCCCAAGAAGGAAGGCUGGAACAGCACCUGCAGACACCAGAACCACUUGUUGCCGAUGGUGAUGACCUGACCUGGCCAUCAGGCAGCUCAUAGCUCUUCUCCAGGGAGGAGGAGGAUGUGGCAGUGGUCAUCUCCUGCUCGAAGUCCAGGGCGAUGUAGCACAACUUCUCGUUGAUGUCGCGCACAAUCUCCUGCUUGGCCGUGAUGGUGAAGCUCGGUGAGGAUCUUCAUGAGGUAGUUGGUCAGGUCCUGGCCAGCCAGGUCCAGACGCAGGAUGGCGUGGUGGGAGGGCGUGGCCCUCGUAGAUGGGUACCAUGUGGGUGGCCCUGUCUCCAGA
rnacentral:sRNA from 1 species